CAAAGCUGUAGCAACAUCAUCUGGGUGUCAAUUUUAAAUUAUAGGGGAGUUAUUUUAAACUAUAGGGGAGUUUAACUAUAGCCCUGAUGCAUAUAUAGGGUAAUUGCCUGAAGUCUUAAUUCCAGAAGUUUAAUCCAGAUCAAGGGUUAAUGAUAGUUAAGCCCCCUCCGGUGGUACAACCAAGCUUCGAUUGUACACUUUGUUCGAACAACAAGGGAGGAGUAAGGUGCCUGACCAGGAAUUAAGGUGCCACUGGCAUGUGGAAUUAGCAUUUCCAUGGUCUCGAGGGCCGUUCCCCUGCUGCUGACAAUGUCUAUGGAGGCCACUCCUCUGCCACUGCCAUAGUCCACGGAGGACGCUCCCCUGCUGCUGCCAGCGUCCAUGGCCACGGAGGCUGUUCUCCUGCCACUGUCAGCACUCACUUCCCUGGCUGUGCUCACGACCACUUUGUUGUGCAUUCUAAAAUGCUCACUACAAUUGUACAGAGUGGUUACCUGCGUCACCGUAUCCUUUCAGUAUAAAACCAGUCUGGCCAUUCUCCGUUGACCUCUCUAAUCAACAAGGCAUUUCCGUCCGCAGAACUGCCGCUCACUGGAUGUUUAUUGUUUUUGUCACCAUUCUGUGUAAACUCUAGAGACUGAUGUGCAUGAAAAUCCCAGGAUAUCAGUAGUUACACAAAUGCUCAAAUCGGCCCGUCUGGCACCAACAAUUGUGCCAUGGUCAAAAUCACUGAGAUCACAUUUUUCCCCAUUCUGAUGGUUGAUGUGAACAUUAACUGAAGCUCCUAACCAGUAUAUGCAUGUUUUUAUGCAUUGCACUGCUGAUACACGAUUGGCCUAUUAGAUAAAUAGCAUGAAUAAGUAGGUGUACAGGUGUAUCUGAUGAAGGUGAAUUUUGUUAAUGCUUAUGAGAACACUAGCAUAUACAGUGCAUCAAAGCUAACAUUCAUGGACUUCAAAAACGACAAAACUAUUUUGAUUUAAUUUCAACUGUGUUUAAAGUAAGCAAGCAUUGGACUUUCUUACGCUCUCUUUUGAUCUGCAAUUUCAAACAUCCACUUUUCUCUUUCAUCCAAAAGAUGAAUGGGUGGAAAAACCUAGGGAGAUGUAAAAAUACAAAUCUGAAACCAUGAUGGAAGCUCCUAGGGCCAGAUUUUGACCCCUCACUUUCCUCUUCACAGAGCAGUGAUACAGCAGUGACAUCAGUACCUCAUGAAGAGGAAUCCCAGAUCUUUUCAUUCCUUAGAGACCAGCAGCUUGCACACCUCUAUGCCAGUAGCAAUAAUCUUCUAUCUACACCAGCAAGGUAGAAAAGGCAGAUUGGACUAGUGAGAGCAGAUUUUAACCAUUGCACACAGCUUCUCAAUGGUGUAUCAUACAGAUAGCAUACUUCGUUACAAUAUGCAUACUUGGAGGAACCACUUUAAAAAAAAAAUGCCCUGGAAUGCAGUAAACACAUACAUUACUAUACCUUGUGCAGUAUAUUUUGUAUACUGCACUCUAUUAAAAAAAAAACAGUAUGUGAAACAGUAUGUAGUAUGUGUGUAACAUUUACAUCCUAAAAUAGUAACGUUGUUGUUGCAUGACCUCAUUACAUUGCAUGUUAAAUUAAUUUUCAAUCCAAUACAUUUUAAUGAGUUUCUUUGCAAAUAUAUUGUUACCAUAUUACAGCAGUGGUCGAUCCGCUUUGCUGUAGAAAGAUGAUUGAAAAAUAAAAUGAAAAAAUAAGAAGCCCUUGGUUUUCAUGCCCAUACAAGGCAGUGACACAUUCCUGCCUCAGACAUUUGUUGGCUCUUUAACAUUUUCUCCAAUAGAAAGCUAAAUACAGAGCAAAGCUUUCAAGAAUUCUUAUCUCUGUACAAUAAUAGUGGGGUUUUACACUUAUUUAUGUAAAGGUGAAGUUUUCCAAUCUUUGUAAAAAGUGUCACCCUUGAGGCGGAUAAGUGUAAAAUAUACAUCAUUCAUUCACAAGGUUAUCAUGUACACACUGGUGUCAUAUUUGAGAGCUAUUGGACUGGGAGACCAGGGCUAUAGAAAUUGUCACAUGGGGAAGUUGUCACAAGGGCUGUAUCUCAACUACAAGG